UUUCUAUAGCAGAAGAUAUCUUGGGCAGAAAGAUUGGAUAUGAAUCCAAGCAUGUGGUUCCCGAUGUAUCCAUUUUCUUCAAGGUAGGGGUGAGAAGGGCAACAAACUCAGAGUAUGGUCCCGGCUUUUUCUUGGGCAGCAUUCUUUCUUAAUAUAGGUGAAACAACCACAUGCCAGCCAUUCAGCAUGCAAACACCUGCCGGACUCAAAGUGGUCGGCUGCGCGCCUGUCUGCCAAAAACCAACAGACCGAGUAAUAGUGACCCGUCCUAAAAUGGAAGGGCAUCUAUAUUGAAGAAGGGCAUCUAUACUUGAGUCUUCGCUGCUUCAAGCAGUCGUGUGAAUCAUGAUAUAAUAAAACAGAUGAGAAAAUGA
rnacentral:misc_RNA from 1 species